rnacentral:rRNA from 1 species
CAGAUUGUAAGGAAUCGUACCCCAAACCGACACAGGUGGUCGGGUAGAGAAUACCAAGGCGCUUGAGAGAACUCGGGUGAAGGAACUAGGCAAAAUGGUACCGUAACUUCGGGAGAAGGUACGCUCUUGAUGGUGAAGUCCCUCGCGGAUGGAGCUGACGAGAGUCGCAGAUACCAGGUGGCUGCAACUGUUUAUUAAAAACACAGCACUGUGCAAAAUCGUAAGAUGACGUAUACGGUGUGACGCCUGCCCGGUGCC